GGGUGGGGGUGGGCAAGAAUAGGGAAGGGAGGUGGGGGGUACAGGCUUCCACUUAUGGAAUGAGUGAGUCACGAGGAUGAAAAGCACAGGAUAGGGGAUACAGUCAAUGACGUUGUCAUAUGUUGUGUGGUGACAGAUGGCAGCUACACUUGUGCUGAGCCCAGCAUAACGGACAGGCUUGUGGAAUCACUAUGUUGUACACCUGAAA